rnacentral:lncRNA from 1 species
CCUCCCAAAGAUCGCAAGGCAACAGAGCGCAAGAGAAGUGAAGGCGUGAUCGGGAAAGCCCACCAAUAUGCCAGAAUCUGCAAGGGUGAUAUAGCUGUCUUCAUAUGCAACGAGGAUGGAAAAUGCAAAGCAUACCAGUCUAGCAACAGGAAGACAUGGGGAACAUUCUUUGAGCAGCUUAAAAACGAACAGCCCUGGAUAGUUAAUAUCGUACCCGAAGAUCUCGACGAUAAUGGUAGGAAGAAAAAGAAGCGUAAACGCUCAAUGCCGAAGAAAACUGUCACCUCUGAAAAGGCCGAAAAUACUUCGCUACAACUUCCUAAAUUUCCUCUGAUUCAGUCAGAAAGUGAGGAAUGGCUUCUGCUUGAUGCGGUCACAGACAGUUCAGAGCACACUGGGCUCCGUCCAGGCAGAAUGGCUCUAGACAUCCCAGGAAAGAUAUCAUUGAUUCUGGGAGCCGUGUCUCCAAUAGUGGAUGUCUUGCUAUAUUUUCCAGAGCCCCCUCCAAUUGAGUGACUUUUUAUCCGUUUCUAGCUGAUAUUACGAUACAAUGUUCGGUCUGGAUUAGAGUAUUUGUCAAUUUUUAAUGGGCUCAGCCGACAGCACUGCUUUCUGCCAGAAUAAGAAAGCCUAU